GGGGGGGGGGGGGGGGGGGGGGGGCGGGGGCGGGGCGGGCGGGGGGGGGGGGCGGGGGCCGGGAGGCGGCGGCGGGCGGGUGAGUAAGGCCUAGGAAGCUGCCGGGGAGGGGGGGAUAACGUCCGGGAACGGGCGCUAAUACCGCAUACGUCCUGAGGGAGAGAGUGGGGGAUCUUCGGACCUCACGCUAUCAGAUGAGCCUAGGUCGGAUUAGCUAGUUGGUGGGGGAAAGGCCUACCAAGGCGACGAUCCGUAACUGGUCUGAGAGGAUGAUCAGUCACACUGGAACUGAGACACGGUCCAGACUCCUACGGGAGGCAGCAGUGGGGAAUAUUGGAGAAUGGGCGAAAGCCUGAUCCAGCCAUGCCGCGUGUGUGAAGAAGGUCUUCGGAUUGUAAAGCACUUUAAGUUGGGAGGAAGGGCAGUAAGUUAAUACCUUGCUGUUUUGACGUUACCAACAGAAUAAGCACCGGCUAACUUCGUG
rnacentral:rRNA from 1 species